UUAGGAAUAUAUCGAAAAUUGUGGAGGCGCACUGGCCCAGUGGUUAGGGCCGCAGACUCGCAGUUGUAAGAAUGCAAUUUUGAUUCUCAGACUGGGCAUUGUGAAUGUUUAUUGAGCAAAAACACCUAAGCUCCACGAGG